AGUGAACGCUGGCGGCGUGCCUAAUACAUGCAGGUCGAACGAACGAAUAAGAGCUUGCUCUUAUAAGUUAGUGGCGCACGGGUGAGUAAUAUAUAGCUAAUCUGCCUCUUAGUAGAGGAUAACAGUCGGAAACGAUUGCUAAUACUCUAUACUUCUGCUUUACAUAAGUAAAGUAGAGAAAGUUUUUCGCUAAGAGAUGAGGCUAUACUGUAUCAGCUAGUUGGUAAGGUAACGGCUUACCAAGGCUAUGACGCAUAACUGGUCUGAGAGGAUGAUCAGUCACAUUGGAACUGAGACACGGUCCAAACUCCUACGGGAGGCAGCAGUAGGGAAUAUUGCGCAAUGGGGGAAACCCUGACGCAGCAACGCCGCGUGGAGGAUGACACUUUUCGGAGCGUAAACUCCUUUUAUCGGGAAAGAAUAAUGACGGUACCCGAUGAAUAAGCACCGGCUAACUCCGUG
rnacentral:rRNA from 1 species